rnacentral:rRNA from 1 species
GACGAACGCUGGCGGCAUGCUUAACACAUGCAAGUCGAACGCUCCGCGAGGGGCUUGCCCUACUGGUGAGUAUCGCGUGGGAACAUACCCUUUUCUACGGCAUAGCUCUGGGAGACUGGUAAUAAUACCGUAUAAGCCCUACGAGGGCAAGAUUUAUCGGGUAAGAAUUGGCUCGCGUGGAAUUAGCGAGUGGGUGGGGUAAAGGCCUACCAAGGCGACGAUCCAUAGCUGGUCUGAGAGGAUGAUCAGCCACAUUGGGAGUGGGACACGGCCCAAACUCCUACGGGAGGCAGCAGUGGGGAAUAUUGGACAAUGGGCGCAAGCAUGAUGCAGCCAUGCCGCGUGAGUGAUGAAGGACUUAGGGUUGUAAAGCUCUUUGAACGAUGAAGAUAAUGACGGUAGUCUGAGAAGAAGCCCCGGCUAACUUCGUG